rnacentral:rRNA from 1 species
UACGUAGGGGGCAAGCGUUGUCCGGAAUCAUUGGGCGUAAAGCGCGCGUAGGCGGCCCGGUAAGUCCGCUGUAAAAGUCCAGGGCUCAACCCUGGAAAGCCGGUGGAUACUGUCAGGCUAGAGUACGGAAGAGGCGAGUGGAAUUCCCGGUGUAGCGGUGAAAUGCGCAGAUAUCAGGAGGAACACCAACGGCGAAGGCAGCUCUCUGGGACGUUACUGACGCUGAGACGCGAAAGCGUGGGGAGCAAACAGG